GCCUCUGUGGAUCAGUGUUAGAUCACCUCUCCCAAGUAUCAAAUGUGCGGGUUCCUCUGCAAGAGGAGACGUGGGUUCAAAUCCCACCGGAGGCA